UUAAUACAAGAUGGCAUCAUGAGUCCGCAUGUUCACAUGAUUAAAGGUAUUCCGGUAGACGAUGGGGAUGCGUUCCAUUAGAUAGUAGGCGGGGUAACGGCCCACCUAGUCCUCGAUGGAUAGGGGUUCUGAGAGGAAGGUCCCCCACAUUGGAACUGAGACACGGUCCAAACUCCUACGGGAGGCAGCAGUGAGGAAUAUUGGUCAAUGGGCGAGAGCCUGAACCAGCCAAGUAGCGUGAAGGAUGACUGCCCUAUGGGUUGUAAACUUCUUUUAUAAAGGAAUAAAGUCGGGUAUGCAUACCCGUUUGCAUGUACUUUAUGAAUAAGGAUCGGCUAACUCCGUGCCAGCAGCCGCGGUAAUACGGAGGAUCCGAGCGUUAUCCGGAUUUAUUGGGUUUAAAGGGAGCGUAGAUGGAUGUUUAAGUCAGUUGUGAAAGUUUGCGGCUCAACCGUAAAAUUGCAGUUGAUACUGGAUAUCUUGAGUGCAGUUGAGGCAGGCGGAAUUCGUGGUGUAGCGGUGAAAUGCUUAGAUAUCACGAAGAACUCCGAUUGCGAAGGCAGCCUGCUAAGCUGCAACUGACAUUGAGGCUCGAAAGUGUGGGUAUCAAACAGGAUUAGAUACCCUGGUAGUCCACACGGUAAAC
rnacentral:rRNA from 1 species